ensembl:lncRNA
GCUGAACGCAGCAGUGGGGGAAGAGAGAUUGACAACUAAGAGGGAGAGAUGUUGAGGGAAAAUUAGGAAUGAGGAAUGUUGAUCUAGCCCCUACAGGUCAGGUCACGCUCAAGAUUCAGAUUUUCUGGCAUCGGAGGGAGAGGAACACUGGUAGCUUAGGCUAGCUCCAGUUGUGGACCGGCCAUCUGGCAUACCGGGCAUCGUCCCGGUGGGCGUUGACUUAUUUUAAUUUUGAAAGAAACAACACAUGGAAGCAAUGGAGAACGCCAUCUCGUUCGGUUGUUUAGAAUUGAAAAUCCGGCUGCCAGGACAACCAGGUGCUGCUGCGCCGGGAGACGAGCGAGUGGAGGCAUGUAUCAUGCCCAGACAGGUUCAGGGAAAGUCCAGCUGGUCAGUUCAGGGAGAGAGCCAGACCAAUGCAGGCAGCCCAAAGACUAGACCACCUGAGAGGGAAAAGGCUGUAGAGAGUGAGGAGUGUGUCAGCCUUCACUGCACUAAAGUUUGGCUGUUGAGUCUCCUCUAGUAUGGUUCACCACUUGACAUGCGAGAGCCUGAGGAGUUUUCCCCCCUCCGUCCAUUUUCAAGGACUUGCUCUCUUACUGCCUCCACUUCACCACUUUUUGGCUAAUGAAACGUCUCUGAUUUGUUGAGUAUGUCAUGUGUCGUAUAAUGUUAGAUGAAUUCAUACUUGAUUUGUGAUGAUGACUUAAUAAUGUUUCCAUGUCUCUUUUAGGUUGACCACCCUAUGUAUGAGAGCCUAAGGAGUUGUUUUCCCUCUGUCCCCUUUUGAGGACCUGCUUUGUCUCCUCCAUCAUUAACUGAGCCACUUUUGGGUUCCUGAGCUGAUUUCAUGUGGUGAGAGGAAUGCAAUAUGUGUAUGUUUAAAGGUUUAUGUGAAGAAACAUACUAUAUGUGAUAAAAUGACAAUUGGUUAUUCAUAAAAUUCUCUUUAUAUUCUCUGCUACCAUCAUCUCCUGUCAAACAGGUUUUCCUGACCUGCUAGAAGUUCUUCCAUGAUGCUUGAGAGAGAGAGAGAGAGAGAGAGAGAGAGAGAGAGAGAGAGAGAGAGAGAGAGAGAGAGAGAGAGAGAGAGAGAGAGAGAGAGAGAGAGAUUAAUCUUUACUUUGUGAGUUUAUUAUGCAACUUAUUUUGUCUCAGAUUCAAACAAAAGGUUUGAUUAUGAUAAUUUCCUGGUGAAAAUAUGAUGAUUUUUUAUUUCAAACAUCUGCAUAUCUUUGUGUGCAGAUGUUUGAAUGUGCACAUACACGUAUAUGAGAAUGCAUAUCUACUCAGACCUGUAAUUCAUGUCUUAGACUUUUUCACACAGCUAUAGAUAAUUAUUAUUUUUCUCUAUUUAUGGUUCCAUAAUGACUGAGUCACCGUUAAAAAAAUUUGUUUCAGCUCUAAUGCUGAUACUGUCUGUAAUAUGUUUCUAUUUAGAUUAUUUGUCAGGAUACUUUGUUAUUAUUGUCCGAGUCUGGUUUUAACUAAUGCUGGGCUUACACAAAAAUAUAUUCACAUUCACAGACUAAAAACUGAAAGGGUAGCAUAGGGUUCUUCCUGUUAGUCUCGUCCCACCCCUAGUCAUGACAUAACUUCUGUUUUCAUGUGAUGUGACUAUAAUGAAUAAAGACUGAUUGAUUGAUUGCUAUAGCGGUCAAUUUUAGUCCUUGGGGCCUAUCUUGCAUCCGGCGCAAUUUACUUUCUCACUGGCGCAUGUGUUGUUGCUAGUUAGCAACUGCCGCAGAGUGUUCUUUUCCCUCCUGCGCCACGCGUCGGUAAAUUAGGGAAUGAUCUUGCGCCCCAAGGGGUGGUUCAGCGAAAGGAGGAGGCGUGUUCUGGCGCAAAUGUUCCCUGGGGCUAUUUUGCAGAUUCAGAAAUCACUUUCGCCACAAACCAGGAAAUACCUGGUUUAAAGUCAGUGGCGCGUUGUUCAGAUGCUAUUUUAAGGGCGCAUGCAUAAUGUUGCUUGUGCACCUCGCGCAUACACUUUGCUACUCUCAUCUACCUAGCCACACCUUCUGGGUAAAUUAUUUGGGAAAGAACAGCUGAUACAGCGGUAAUAAGUUGUACUUUUAAAUCAAUGCAUCUGCAAACACCGUACUGCAAAUACAUAUUUUCUUGACACAGACAUCGUGUACAUGCCCAUAACUUUUAGGAUUGAUGAGUAUUUGAUUGUGAGAAAACAUUGUCUUAUUGCGAGUGACGGGUUAAAAAGAAUGAAUGAAUGUGGGUACGAGUGUGUGCAUGUGUACAAUUAUUAAUGAAUGCGGGCGCUCGUUUGUGCGUCCAUCUGUUUAAACACACGCAAACUAAACACGUAACGCAUAAUACAGUCCAUGGCAAAGUAUAAUAACGGGGGGACAUAUGAAUAUUAGGAACACAAGUCGAUAUCGAUAAUGCAUACAAUACUGAUAAGAAACGAUGUUUAUAAUGUAUUGUGUAUAUCAUUAAAUAGAAGCACAGUUACCGCAUAUCAUAUGUGUGUUAAGUUUUCUGAAGUUGUGGGAGAAAAGCUUAUUCCAUGUGUGAAUUAGGCCAUAUUAUUUGUCCAUAAACUGAGCCAUUUGAAGUUUGAUUUCAUGUUCAUCUGUCUCAUCGGAGACUGCAGACGUGCUGUCAAUAUAUCAACUCGUCAGAUUCAAAUGGGGAUGGGAGCUGGCACUCUCAUUGGUUUAUUGCACGUUACGCCCAAACCACACCUACGGGUAAUUAGGCUACUUCAGACCAACCCUUUUUAGAUAUGCGCCGGGCGCAAGAGUAAUUUUUGCGCCGGUAAAAUAGCGACAUCGCCAUAGAACCGCCCACAAAGUUACUUGCGCUUCGCACUUCUCACUUGCGCUUCAGACCGUUAAAAUAGGGCCCCUAGAGUUCAUAUAGUUACGUGCUUUAUUUGUUAACUGCUAUCAAGGAAUAUGACUCUCCUUUGUAGUAUGCCUGAGAGGAGUGUCUGGUGAUAAUGCAGUGGGCUGGUCUGGACAGAAAAUGCUAGGGCAGAAUUUUUGUCCCACUCCACCCCAGGCGAGCUCACACAUGUCUUCCACACACACGUGCAUAAUAUGGCGCAAUAUAACUACAGGCUGGGCCAAAGGCAAUAAAGUAAAUAGCUAAACAAGUAGAGGAGCACCAGAUGUGUGAUUGAGUGGCUUGAGAGCAUUGAAUAUUGACUUUGUUAUUACACGUAGGGGCAGGGGAGAGAGUUUCUGAAGAAAGUAA